AAGCAUAUAUGGAACAGUGCAAGCUGUACAAAGAAUAUAGUGAUUGACAAGAAACGCCUCAUGGAAUUCCAGCCCAGCCCUAGGAAAAGCUACUGCAGAUUAGCCUGCCUGGCAUCCGUUUGCUACCCUGGUGGAGUGUCAGUCGACUUUAGGUCCUGCGUCAUCUCUGCUAUUCCUGUGCAGAUGUCCUGGAUGCCUGACGAGCUCUCAAAUGGCACCAGGCACCUGUGUGUCGGGCAGGAAUCCUGGCCUUUGCUUUAUGAAGCAACACGUUCUUGAAGGGCUACAACAGUGUGGUAAUGGCCACAGCCAAGUAUAGCAGCAAUGAGCAAGCUGGACAAAUCUUUAAACAGGACGAUUGACGUGUUUUGGUUUGGUUUGGUUGAAAGACUGAACUAGCUUGCCAGAGGGAAUUCAGAG